CCUGAGAAACCCAAAAGAUCGAAUGGGGAGAUUCACCGUCAGCGUGGCUGGCUUCCGUGCGGAUCGCGAUGGCCGGGACCUCGGUCUCGCGUCACGCGUCCGCUGCGGUAUGUCCGGCUACGUCGGCGUGCACUUCUCCCCUAGUAGGACGUCGCGACCCGUUGGGUGUCGGACCGAUGGCCGUUUGGUCGCCUGUCUCGUCGCGUUCACGCGUGCACGGGGCAGACCGAAAUGGUCGAGCGUCCGGCUGCCCGGCGGUAUAGAACGCUAUUGAACGGUAAUGGGCCGCAUUAAGUGCGUCCAGGCUCGUCGGCAGGCUCGUCUCGCCCGGAUUUACGGACCUAGCGCCGUUGCCGGGUGCUUGGCGUGGCCGUUAGUCGACGAUGUCCUCGGACUGGCUCUAAAAUUCGAAAGG
rnacentral:rRNA from 1 species